CUUCGAAGCUGACAACAAAUAACCAUAGACCAAGCGCACCAACAACAUCUAUUCAAAGCCGCUGUUUCUAUUCAAGGAUACUGAUCAUACGUGGAUGAGGGUAUGGAUUAUUUAGACAUGAUGGAUCCCUUUUGGAUCCCCCAACACUAUUAUCCAAAUGAGAAAGUGAACACAGACAAUAAAACCAUACUCUAUUAUGGUUUGCACAAUCAAGGGGCAACCUGUUAUUUGAACAGUGUGCUGCAGGUCCUCUUCAUGACUAAGGGCUUCAGAGAGGCUGUGG